rnacentral:tRNA from 1 species
GGCGUUGUAGCUCAAUCGGAAUCAGAGCGUCUGUCUUGUAAACAGUUCGAUGUGAGUUCGAAUCUCACCUUCGCCU